rnacentral:lncRNA from 1 species
AAGCGGACGGCUGACGGAGUAGCUGACAGUGCUCAGCGCCAGGAGUCCCUCCAGAGCCCUCCAUCCGCAGCAUGAUUCUAGCACCAGUGAGACUGGAAGGAGAUGGGGCCGUUAUCCCUGUUGCUUCUUAACGGCAGCCUUUGUUUCCACUUGGAAAAUGACUUGGGACAAAGGUAAUUCUUGGUCCUGCACCGUCAAAAUAUUUGUUAUGUUUAUUUUGUUUCUGGUUCUUCAAGCCAGGAAUCGCAUUUCAAGUUGGCAUGACUGUUCUCAGAAUUAAGAAGAUGAAGAGAUUGAGACAGAAAUGGAUACAGAUGAAAGUAAAUGAUGGUUACUAAAGGGAAAAUGGUUAAAGAAACAGCAGUGGAGGCCAGAAACUUUCUAUUUAGCAACAUGAAGACUUCUCUGUGCAUUACCACGUGAGUAAUCUUUGUUGUAUCUAUCAUGUUCUCGUCACCUAUGUG